CAGGCCACCAAAGAGCUGUCAUUAAACAGAGAGUUUGGGAGAGAUGCAGUCACAUCUAUGAUGGAAUACUCCCCCAAGGCAGCCUCAGCUAUCAAAGGAGAAACUAGGACCUUCCGAAAUAAGCCGAAUCUGAGAGAAUCUAUCAGCAGCAGAGUGAACCUGCGAGGAACACCAGAGAGACGGCUGCAGGCUGAGAUGACAGACCUCGGACAGUAAUUAGAGUCCAUAUAAAGACAUCAAGGUGUCUACAUUAGCCACGCCUGCUCCUGUGGGCAGAACGAGGAGAAGUCACCCAGGUGUGCAGCAAAGGUACUUCCCUUCAAAGAGGAAGGUGGAAUCCCUGAGGGAAAGGGAAAGGGGAAGGGGUGGGUGGUGGACCCUGGCCUCAGCCUGCCCCACUCAGCACGUCCUCAGGACACAGAGCUCUUCAGAAAGCAGACAUCUUCCCCAGGAACUGACAUCCCCUCACAGGGACCUCCAACUGGUUUCUGUGAGUGAGGGUGACUGGGUAAAGUGACAUACAAUCCCAAGGAACGGAGAGUCACUCUGUGCUUCC